rnacentral:rRNA from 1 species
UACAGAGGGGGCAAGCGUUGUUCGGAAUUACUGGGCGUAAAGGGCGCGUAGGCGGCCAACUAAGUCGGACGUGAAAUCCCCGGGCUCAACCCGGGAACUGCGUCCGAUACUGGAUGGCUUGAAUCCGGGAGAGGGAUGUGGAAUUCCCGGUGUAGUGGUGAAAUGCGUAGAUAUCGGGAGGAACACCAGUGGCGAAGGCGACUACCUGGCCUGUUCUUGACGCUGAGGCGCGAAAGCUAGGGGAGCAAACGGG